rnacentral:misc_RNA from 1 species
GGACCUGCGGAAGGAUCAUUAAAGAGUAAGGGUGCUCAGCGCCCGACCUCCAACCCUUUGUUGUUAAAACUACCUUGUUGCUUUGGCGGGACCGCUCGGUCUCGAGCCGCUGGGGAUUCGUCCCAGGCGAGCGCCCGCCAGAGUUAAACCAAACUCUUGUUAUUUAACCGGUCGUCUGAGUUAAAAUUUUGAAUAAAUCAAAACUUUCAACAACGGAUCUCUUGGUUCUCGCAUCGAUGAAGAACGCAGCGAAAUGCGAUAAGUAAUGUGAAUUGCAGAAUUCAGUGAAUCAUCGAAUCUUUGAACGCACAUUGCGCCCCUUGGUAUUCCGAGGGGCAUGCCUGUUCGAGCGUCAUUACACCACUCAAGCUAUGCUUGGUAUUGGGCGUCGUCCUUAGUUGGGCGCGCCUUAAAGACCUCGGCGAGGCCACUCCGGCUUUAGGCGUAGUAGAAUUUAUUCGAACGUCUGUCAAAGGAGAGGAACUCUGCCGACUGAAACCUUUAUUUUUCUAGGUUGACCUCGGAUCAGGUAGGGAUACCCGCUGAACUUAA